AUUUAAAUCUCAAUAAUCAUAUAGGUGAUGGUGAUGUUGACACUGGCAUUUGAAUAGGCAAUAUAGGCAUUACCACAAAUGCGCGUUUGGAGACGUUUUGGAAACAUUCAAACAACGAUGUUACGAUACACCUUCUGCUGAGAUUGAAAUGUAGGAUACUAACGUUAAUUUCGACACAGUAGAGAGUUAAACACGGAAGUCUCAGUCUCAGAACAUAACCGCCGGAACUAAAUUGAAUGACCUAAAGUUAACACAUAGUUGCAGCAUCCAUCCACUGUGCGCCUUUACGCAACAAUCCUCCUGUUGGCCUUCGGCACAGUAUUACAGUAGCAUCACAGGCGCAGAACGGAGUUUACCAUGCGCUCUCCUCUCAGGCUUGACUGACUGACUACAUGAUUUACGAGAUGAGGGCUGUUUUCUGGGGAGUUCUCCUCGCCUGUGUGGACUGGAGUCGGGGCCAGGAGACUCACACAUUCGAUGGCGACGUCCGCGACUUUGCCAUAGGUGACAGCUCGGUAUACGUCGUUACGGAUGACCGACUCUUCCAGCUGAACCAUGAUUUUACCAAAAUUAUAAAGAGGGAUAAUCCAGAAGUAGUUUAUCCUAACCAAGAAGUACCUCCUUCCUAUGAAACGUAUCCAUUUAAGGUAAACAUUUUACUGCCAUUCAUAAAAAACAAGACCUUGAUCACCUGUGGAACCACAAAAUGCGGCUACUGUGAAAUACUGGAUCUCAACGAAAUCUCCAAAUCUGUGCAUUCGGAGGAUAUUGAAGUGGGUUCAUUGGACCCUGGAGAUUCAACCAUUGGCUUUAUUGUUGAUGUCGGGAAGAACUCCUACAUUAUGGCUGGAAGGUUGCAGAGCGGUGUGCCUAACGCGUGUGUCAAUUCAGGUCCGUUCCUUGUCCUACGGAACACACUAGAUGGACAGAAGGGAGGAAUCUUUUCUGAUUCAGAUGAGAACGCGACUCCAUAUAUUGACGCCAGACAUAAGCAGAAGUUUCAGUUUGUGGACGGCUUUCAGAGUAAUUCACACAUCUACGUGUUCUCGAACGUUCCAAAAGAGCAUCAAGUUCGAAUUAUUUGGUUCAAGAGCGAGAACAAUAAAGCAAAUACUUUGAAGUCCCUCAAAGGUGCAACACUCAAAUGCUGUGGAAACAUGGAGCGCCGGCAGCUCCUGUCUUCCUCUGUGAUUCCAGGUUCUGGUGGGCUCCAUGGGCAGGUGCUCUGGGCAGGUGUGUUCACGGCUGGUAACACAAGAGACCCCAUCAACACCAUGCUGGCCAUCUAUAACAUCAGCCACUCUACAGGGCUUCAACUCAUAAACGUUGACCCAGACUUCUGCUAUGAAGACUGUGCAAAGUCAUCGGGAUUAGGUAACCCCCCGGACCUGCAGCCAGAGGCAGUGGUGUUUCAAUACAGCUCCAUGACAUCAGUGUUGGCAGUGAGACACAACUCCUGGCUGGUGUUCUUCAUCGGGACAGGAGACGGACAACUCAUCAAGCUUGCUGUAGACAAGGCCUACAAACCUGCCUGUCCCAGAGUGCUCUACAAGUCAGAUGACGACCGCCGUGUGUUUCCCAAGAUGCACCUGGAUCCAGUGGACCGCAAACAUGUGUACAUGGCACUGAAGAACCAGAUGAUGCGUGUGCCUGUGGCUCAGUGCAGUGAACACAAGAGUCUGAAGGGUUGUUGGUCUGCUCAGGACCCCUUCUGUGGCUGGUGUGAGUCUGAGAACAGCAGGAGCCAGUGAUCGUCUCCAUAGUGCCCAGUGUUCUGUCCUUCCAUGGGAGAAACCACGCCCUGAUGACUGGGAAGAACCUCCAUCACGUGACUAGGGUUCGCAUCCAAGGGCACAUGGACUGCAGUUUCAAGGAUGGGAAGAGGAAGAUCAAGGUCCAAGGGUCCCAGCUGGAGUUUGUGGAGGGGGUUGUUCAUGACCACGCCCCUCAGACCAUCCUAACCAACUACAGCUCUGGGAGUCUGUGGUACCACACACCUCUCUUUGAACACAUUAACCAGCCAGUCACCUCCACUGUGUUUCUGAGAGUGGCCAAUCAGACACUGGCCUGCUCGUCACAGCUCACCUACCAUCCCGACCCAGAAUUCACCAGCUAUACUGCAAUCAAGACAGGAAACGACCUGCGUGUCACCA